rnacentral:lncRNA from 1 species
GUAAAGCUGAUGGUGCUGUUCACAUCAGAAAUUGCAGCACUGAAGAACAGAGUUCAUGCAGACUUUUACAACAUGCAUCAGCUACAGCAUUUGUUUGUUGAUGGUACCAGCUGUCAAAAACCAAGCAAGUGGCAGUGCUAGAGGUGCCACAAAAGUGCGAAGGAAGUGUCAGGCUGGAUGUCAAAAUGAACACCUUGGAGAACUGGAUGAUGGAACAGACGGUAAAAAUCAGCUAAACAUCAGAGAAAAUGGAGGAAGAGGUCAAAACUGUGAACAGGAACUAGAAGAAAGUGUAGCAGAAAAAGACUUGUCACAAACUUCGAGAGAUUUGGAGAAAAUGAUGUCAAAACACAUCUUCCUCAAGCCCAUGCUGAGUAUCUCUGAUUUGGUUAAUUUCUUGACCCAGAGAUGCUGGGUGGCCUCUGGCCGCUGACCUCCUGAUUGCCAUCCCUCCCCCAUCACCACAACUCAAUAAUCAAACCAGCAACUGAGGAGUUACUCUACACUCUUCUUUACCUCCCAACCACCCCGUUCCAGCUGCUAAUCAUCAUGCUGAUUCUACCUGUAAAAUACAGCUCGAUUUGUUUGGUUUUCUCCAUCUCCACAGCUGGCACCCUCUCUACGUCUCUGCCAUCUGUCACCUAGACAACACAGCAUCUUCCAAAUGAGUGCCUCUAUUUCCAGGGUGAUCUUAAAACAGAAAUCAGAUUUUCACCCCUGCUGAAUAUCCUUCAGGGUCUCUUCUCUGCACCCAGCUGGAAUCCAAACACUGGUCCAGGAAGCCCCGCCUGCCUCUCCUGCCUCACCCAGAUGGCUCUACCCUUUGCCCACCUCACUUCAGCCACAGUGGCCUCACCUAAGUGCCUCCACAUUUGGUAUCUAUUCAUUCUCUAGCCAGUGCACCUCAGAAUGCCUGGAAUUCAGCUGGGCAUGGUGGCCCAUUCCUGUAAUUCCAGCACUUUGUGAGGCCAAGGUGGGUGGAUCACUUGAGGUCAGGAGUUCGAGACCAGCCUGACCAACAUGGGGAACCCCCGUCUCUACCGAAAAUACAAAAAUUAGUUGGGCAUAGUGGUGCGUGCCUGUAAUCCCAGCCACUCUGGAGGCCGAGGUAGGAGAAUUGCUUGAACCUGGAGGUGGAGGUUGCAGUGAGCCAAGAUUGUGCCACUGCACUCCAGCCUGGGCGACACAGCAAGAUUCUGUCUCAAACAAACAAACAAACAAAUAAAAAGAAUGCCUGGAAUUCCUGUCCUUUCCCAUCA